rnacentral:rRNA from 1 species
UACAGAGGUCCCAAGCGUUGUUCGGAUUCACUGGGCGUAAAGGGUGCGUAGGUGGUGAGGUAAGUUUGAUGUGAAAUCUCCGGGCUCAACCCGGAAAUGGCAUUGAAUACUAUCUUGCUAGAGGAGUGGAGGGGGGACUGGAAUACUUGGUGUAGCAGUGAAAUGCGUAGAUAUCAAGUGGAACACCAGUGGCGAAGGCGAGUCCCUGGACAACACCUGACACUGAGGCACGAAAGCUAGGGGAGCAAACAGG